rnacentral:lncRNA from 1 species
GUUUUUUUGUAUGUUUGUUUGUUUGUUUGUUUGUUUUGAGACAGAGUCUUGCUCUGUCACCCAGGCUGGAGUUGCAGUGAGCCGAGAUUGCGCCACUACACUCCAGCCUGGGCGACAGAGCGAGACUCUGUCUCAAAAAAAAAAAAAAAAAAGGAAAGAAAGAAGUAAGUCCAAAGCAUGCCAAGAUGAAAAAGUGCUUCUCUCAUCCAAGUUUUCAGUGCUGAAAAAAAAUGAAGAGGGUUUAUGUAGGCACACCCACCUUUGAAAUGACAGCCAGUGCAUUUGUACUGCUGCUGUUAGUGCUUGUAAUCUUGAAGGCAAAGUAGUUUUUGCUAUUCAACUUUAUAUAUAUAUACACACACACACAUUUUUUUUCUUUUUUUUUUUGUUUUUAAGAGAUAGGGUCUCACUCUGUCUCCCAGGCUGGAGUGCAGUGACACAAUCAUGGCUCUCUGCAGCCUUGACCUCACAGGCCCAGGUGAUCCUCCCACCUCAGCCUCCCAAGUAGCUGGGACUACAGCUGGGACUACAUUCCUGGCGAAGAUUUUUAUUGUAAAUGAAAGACCAGAUUUUUAUAAUAGGGACAGUCAUCAGCUUAACUUUAUUGCACAUCUAUCAAGCAUAGUAGACUUCAUUUUUUAUAACACUUUUCUAGAAGACCUAAAAUUGUUACCUUCUGAGGAAAUUGUUAAUUUUUUUUCUGUCCAGCAAAGUUACCUAAAAUAAAGGGAGAGAGAUUUCCAUCUGUUUUCCAGACCCUUAAAGUAGUAUUGGCACUGAGAAUAAGCAGCUGAGAACUAAUAAAGCGUGUGUAUAAUCACAUUGUAGAAUUAGAAAACCCAGUGAUAAAAUUGCAUUUUCUAGCAGCUUAUCUAAAUUUAUGUAUAUAUUUUUUCCUAUUAUCAAAGUUGUUGCAAGAAAGAUGUUUUAUCAGUUGUAGAAAGUGUUUGGGGUUCAUAUAUUCUCAAGAAUCUAGUUUUUGCAUUACAUUUUUGUUGCAUUAGGAUAUUAAGUCUCUAGGUUCUUUUUUUUUCUUCUCGAGACAAGAGUCUUGCUCUGUCGCCCAGGCUGGAGUGCAGUGGCACGAUCUCGGCUCACUGCAACCUCCACUUCUGAGUUCAAGCGAUUCUCCUGCCCUCAGCCUCCCAAGUAGCUGGGAUUGUAGGUGCCCGCCACCACGCCUGGCUAAUUUUUAUAUUUUUAGUAGAGACAGGGUCUCUAUCUCCUGACCUCAGGUGAUCUAUUUGAAGUGGUUUUCAUUGUGUUGUAAUUGAAGAGCUUUGGCAACCCUCAAAAUGCUGAUUGAACACCUUGUCCUUUCUUGCAAAUUUCAUUCCUUACAUGUAAGAGAGAGGUUUGUAACUACUUAUGCAUGGGUUUACUGCAGGUUGUACUCUACUCAAAAAAAAAGUCAAGAAACUCUUUUGAAUAAUUAGAGUCCCUAAUGCCAGACAUUUCUGAUUUCUUUCUUUUUUUUUUUUUUUUUUUUGAGACCGAGUUUCACUCUUGUUGCCCAGGCUGGAGUGAAAUGGCACGAUCUUGGCUCACUGCAACUUCUGCCUCCCAGGUUCAAGCAAUUCUCCUGCCUCAGCCUCCCGAGUAGCUGGGAUUACAGGCGCCUGCCACCACGCCCGGGUAAUUUUUGUAUUUUGAGGAGACACGGGGUUUCACCAUGUUGGCCAGACUAGUCUAUAACUCUUGACCUCAGGUGAUCCACCCACCUCGGCCUCCCAAAGUACUGGGAUUACAGGCGUGAGCCACCACGCUUGGCCUCUGAUUUCUUCAAUAGUGUUUAAAAAAUAAUGGGUUUUUUUCAUUGUCCUAAACCAUCUAAAGUACUCAUAGAAUAUUAAAUAUGUAACAUCCUAAGAUAUUUGUAGCUAUGUCUACCUAUCUGUGUGUUUUGACUUGGGAUAAGUAUUAACAUUGGUUUCUGUGCAUUUCAGAUGACCACCUAAGAAAGGAGGAACAGAAAAGUACUAACAUUGAAGAUCUUCAUGUUUCUCAGGCAGUCAACAGAUAAUGCUUUGUUUGGGGUAUCUUUUGUCUUAAAAUUGUAUUAUUAAUUAAAUAACUUAUUUAUUGUCCCAAUGUUACCAAAAUGCACCACUAAUGUUUGUAGAAAUUGGAGUUUCUACAAAACACCCCUCAUGUUUAACUACAUUUGUGAAUAAAAGCUAACUCUUGUCAUCUAGCUUAUUGGAUUUGACUUGAAAAAAAAAGUAUUGUUUUUACGAAGUAUUUUUUGUUUUUUUGAGAUGGAGUCUCGCUCUGUCACCCAGACUGGAGUGCAGUGGCACGAUCUCGGCUCACUGCAAUCUCUGCCUCCCGGAUUCAAGUGAUUCUCCUGCCUCAGCCUCCCAAGUAGCUGGGAAAACAGGCCUGUGCCACCACACCGGAGUAGUUUUUGUAUUUUUAGUAGAGAUGGGGUUUCACCAUGCUGGCCAGGCUGGUCUUGAACUCCUGACCUCAGGUGAUCUGUGUGCCCCAGCCUCCCAAAGCGCUGGGAUUACAGGUGUGAGCCACUGAGCCCAGCCAUUUAGGAAGUAUUAUAAAGGCCCUUAAAGUUUGUAAGGAAAUGAAAGGGCUUUGUAUUACCUUUUCAAUAGGCAACAAUGUACUUUUUCUUUCCUUAGACUUUGGCUUACUGGAAGAUUUAAUUAAAAGGUAGAGGAGAAGUAAAUUUGCUGUAAUAAUUUUGCUGUAAAUAAAACAAAGAGUUUAUUUUAUUAGAUAAAGAAUGUGAAGUAAGCAUGAAGAGACAGGCUUUGGGAGAAAUACCAGAAAGGGAUUUUUCAAAGAUGGCAUUGUUUAAUCUCCGUGUGGCCCUCGGUUGUGCAAUCACAGAUGAGCCAGAAGAGGGCCAGCCCCCUACUUGUUUGGGCUCCGAAACUCUUACCAAACAUCAAUUUUUAUUCUUGGGAUAGAAAAAUAGUAUGUGCUAUCUCUAAUACGCUACUUCGAUAUUUAUUAAAGAAGUAUUUUUAAUGUAGUGUCCACAGGCUCAUUUCAUUGAAAACAACUGACUAUGAUGAUAGACAGCUCCUGAUUGGCAAAAGUUCGAUGGUAUAUUCAGAAUUAAAUUUUGCCUGCACACCUAAACACUGACAACAUUUAGCUUAAAGGUUUUCCAUGGAGAAGAGUGGUAAGAGCUGUAGUUAGCAAAAUUGGCAUCCUCUUUAGGGUGUCAAUUCUGUGCUGCUUUGCAAAUUGUUGAAACUUUUGAUUUUCUGUUUGGCAAUGCUAGUCAGUGUUCACUUCUUACAGAUUAGCCAAGAAUUUUUAUCUAAAUGCAGAAACUUAUUAAUGAAAUCCAUUUAAACUAUACUUACACAACAUUUUGGGAGGCCCUGCUGGUAAAAUUAUAUAUGGAUGCAGAAGUAUUGCAAGAGUCCAUUUUCCAUUUUUAAAUCUGCAAUAUCUGAUUACAUUGAUGAAUUCCGUUGUAUUGUAUGUGUGAAUAUAAAUAUCUGAAUUCUCCCGGGGGACUUGGUUUUCGUCCAAGGAUGUUGGCAGUGGACACUUAGUUUACCUCAGGAAUUGCAAUCAUGUAAGACUAUAUUCGGAAAAAAUGCUGGAGUAUAUAAUUUUGGAUACUGAUAUAAAAUCAUCAAGAUGGAAGUUAAGCAGAAUUGUCACGUGUAGUCCAUAGCGCUUUUAUAUGCAUUAUUCUGUAAUUUGUUUGUACUGCGGCAACUUUUUAUACUUUCAAUGUAUCAUUUAAUAAAAAAAAUAAGCAAGUCACUUUGGUGCAAA